rnacentral:lncRNA from 1 species
UCCUGUGCUGCUAUCGUCUUCCUUUCUUUCCUGAUUCUUGGCCCUGCUGGUGGCACUUAGGACUAAAGAGACUGCUCAGCCCUGGGUUAGACAACACCGUGGUAGAGAACAAUUUGUAUAUUGCCUUGAGGCGCCCUCCCCGCACCCCGACCUAGACUCAAACUACCCUUCAUGGAGUCUUUGCAUGACUGAAAGGUAUUGGUUUUCUGGAGCAUUCAUUAUGAAAAGAGAUGUGAGCUUGAUUUGUCAAAUGAUUUAACAUUUCAGUGACAGAGAUGCCCCGUGGAUAGGCCAUUUUGGUAUGUGUACUGGUGCUCCCUGCAUUGGAUUUUGAAAUUAUGAAUGGCACUGCCAUCAUUGUCCCAUCCCUUAUUUUGACCAUGACAUGCAAGAAGCACUAGGCACUGUGAACCUCUCCGUA